GAUGAAGAACGUAGCGAAAUGCGAUAAGUAAUGCGAAUUGCAGAAUUUCCGUGAGUCAUCGAAUCUUUGAACGCACAUUGCGCCCUUUGGUAUUCCGAAGGGCAUGCCUGUUCGAGCGUCAUUAUCACCCCUCAAGCCCGGCUUGCUGUUGGUGCCGGCGUGGCUUUAGGCCUCGUCCCGCCCAAAGAUAAUGACGGCGUCUGUGAGGACCCCUGUACACUGAGCUCUCGGGCACGUACACGGUUGGGAGUCCAGGCGCCGGUCGACGUCCGCAAGGACACUUUUUCUAAGGUUGACCUCGGAUCAGGUAGGGAUACCCGCUGAACUUAAGCAUAUCAAUAAGCGGAGGA
rnacentral:misc_RNA from 1 species